rnacentral:rRNA from 1 species
AUUGAACGCUGGCGGCAGGCCUAACACAUGCAAGUCGAACGAGUGGCGGACGGGUGAGUAAUGUCUGGGAAACUGCCUGAUGGAGGGGUAUCACUACUGGAAACGGUAGCUAAUACCGCAUCCCAUCGGAUGUGCCCAGAUGGGCUGAGCUAGUAGGUGGGGUAACGGCUCACCUACGGGACGAUCCCUAGCUGGUCUGUGAAGAUGACCAGCCAAACUGGAGCUGAGACACGGGCCAAACUCCUACGGGAGGCAGCAGUGGGGAAUAUUGCACAAUGGGCGCAAGCCUGAUGCAGCCAUGCCGCGUGUAUAAAGAAGGCCUUCGGGUUGUAAAGUACUUUCAGCGGGGAGGCAUUACCCGCAGAAGAAGCACCGGCUAACUCCGUGCCAGCAGCCGCGGUAAUAG